GACGAACCACACAAACGUUAUUCGGAAUUACUGGGCUUAAAGGGUGCGUAGGCUGUGCGGAAAGUUGGGCGUGAAAUACCUCAGCUUAACUGAGGAACUGCGUUCAAAACUACCGUGCUUGAGGGAGACAGAGGUAAGCGGAACUUAGGGUGGAGCGGUGAAAUGCGUUGAUAUCCUAAGGAACACCGGUGGCGAAAGCGGCUUACUGGGUCCCUUCUGACGCUGAUGCACGAAAGCUAGGGUAGCGAACGGG
rnacentral:rRNA from 1 species